rnacentral:rRNA from 1 species
UGAGGAAUAUUGGGCAAUGGACGAAAGUCUGACCCAGCCAUGCCGCGUGAAGGAUGACGGUCCUCUGGAUUGUAAACUUCUUUUAUCUGGGGCGAAAAUCACCUUUUCUAGGGUGCUUGACAGUACCAGAUGAAUAAGCACCGGCUAACUCC